AGCGAACGCUGGCGGCAGGCCUAACACAUGCAAGUCGAACGAACUCUUCGGAGUUAGUGGCGGACGGGUGAGUAACACGUGGGAACGUGCCUUUUGGUUCGGAAUAACUCAGGGAAACUUGUGCUAAUACCGAAUGUGCCCUUCGGGGGAAAGAUAUAUCGCCCUUAGAGCGGCCCGCGUCUGAUUAGCUAGUUGGGGAGGUAACGGCUCACCAAGGCGUCGAUCAGUAGCUGGUCUGAGAGGAUGACCAGCCACACUGGGACUGAGACACGGCCCAGACUCCUACGGGAGGCAGCAGUGGGGAAUCUUGCGCAAUGGGGGAAAGCCUGACGCAGCCAUGCCGCGUGAAUGAUGAAGGUGUUAGGAUUGUAAAAUUCUUUCAUCGGGGACGAUAAUGACGGUACCCGGAGAAGAAGCCCCGGCUAACUUCGUG
rnacentral:rRNA from 1 species